rnacentral:rRNA from 1 species
GCGAGGCCGAAAGGCGUAGUCGAUGGGAAACAGGUUAAUAUUCCUGUACUUGGUGUUACUGCGAAGGGGGGACGGAGAAGGCUAUGUUAGCCGGGCGACGGUUGUCCCGGUUUAAGCAUGUAGGCUGGUUAUCCAGGCAAAUCCGGAUAAUCAAGGCUGAGGUGUGAUGACGAGGCACUACGGUGCUGAAGUAACAAAUGCCCUGCUUCCAGGAAAAGCCUCUAAGCAUCAGGUAACAUUAAAUCGUACCCCAAACCG